rnacentral:rRNA from 1 species
CGCAGCCACGGUAAUACAGAGGGUGCAAGCGUUAAUCGGAUUUACUGGGCGUAAAGGGCGCGUAGGUGGUUAUUUAAGUGAGAUAUGAAAGCCCCGGGCUUAACCUGGGAACUGCAUCUUAUACUGGGUAACUGGAGUGCAGUAGAGGGUAGUGGAAUUUCCGGUGUAGCGGUGAAAUGCGUAGAUAUCGGAAGGAACACCAGUGGCGAAGGCGGCUACCUGGACUGAGACUGACACUGAGGCGCGAGAGCGUGGGGAGCGAACAGGAUUAGAUACCCCAGUAGUCCCUGUCUCUUAUACA